rnacentral:rRNA from 1 species
UGUGUAGGAUAGGUGGGAGGCUUUGAAGCGUGGACGCCAGUCUGCGUGGAGCCAUCCUUGAAAUACCACCCUGGCAACUUUGAGGUUCUAACUCAGGUCCGUCAUCCGGAUCGAGGACAGUGUAUGGUGGGUAGUUUGACUGGGGCGGUCUCCUCCUAAAGAGUAACGGAGGAGUACGAAGGUGCGCUCAGACCGGUCGGAAAUCGGUCGUAGAGUAUAAAGGCAAAAGCGCGCUUGACUGCGAGACAGACACGUCGAGCAGGUACGAAAGUAGGUCUUAGUGAUCCGGUGGUUCUGUAUGGAAGGGCCAUCGCUCAACGGAUAAAAGGUACUCCGGGGAUAACAGGCUGAUACCGCCCAAGAGUUCAUAUCGACGGCGGUGUUUGGCACCUCGAUGUCGGCUCAUCACAUCCUGGGGCUGAAGCCGGUCCCAAGGGUAUGGCUGUUCGCCAUUUAAAGUGGUACGCGAGCUGGGUUUAGA